rnacentral:rRNA from 1 species
AUGUGGUUAAUUCGAUGCAACGCGAAGAACCUUACCAGGGUUUGACAUCCUGCGAAUCUCUUGGGAACAGGAGAGUGCCUUCGGGAGCGCAGUGACAGGUGGUGCAUGGCUGUCGUCAGCUCGUGUCGUGAGAUGUUGGGUUAAGUCCCGCAACGAGCGCAACCCACGUCUUUAGUUGCCAGCAUUCAGUUGGGCACUCCAGAGAGACUGCCGGUGAUAAACCGGAGGAAGGUGUGGAUGACGUCAAGUCAUCAUGCCCCUUACAUCCUGGGCUACACACGUACUACAAUGCUACGGACAAAGGGCUGCAAGUUCGCGAGGACAAGCAAAUCCCAUAAACCGUGGCUCAGUUCAGAUCGUAGGCUGCAACUCGCCUACGUGAAGGCGGAAUCGCUAGUAAUCGCAGGUCAGCAUACUGCGGUGAAUACGUUCCCGGGCCUUGUACACACCGCCCGUCACACCAUGGAAGUUGGCCACGCCCGAAGCCGUUACUCCAACCCUUGUGGAGGAGGACGUCGAAGGUGGGGCUGAUGACUGGGGUGAAGUCGUAACAAGGUAACC